UACGGGGGGAGCAAGCGUUGUUCGGAUUUACUGGGCGUAAAGGGCGCGUAGGCGGCCACCGCAAGUCGAUUGUGAAAUCUCCGGGCUUAACCCGGAAAGGUCAACCGAUACUGCGGGGCUAGAGUGCGGAAGGGGCAACUGGAAUUCUUGGUGUAGCGGUGAAAUGCGUAGAUAUCAAGAGGAACACCUGCGGCGAAGGCGGGUUGCUGGGCCGACACUGACGCUGAAGCGCGAAAGCUAGGGGAGCGAACGGG
rnacentral:rRNA from 1 species